rnacentral:rRNA from 1 species
CGCCGUAAACGGUGGGCGCUAGUUGUGCGAACCUUCCACGGUUUGUGCGACGCAGCUAACGCAUUAAGCGCCCCGCCUGGGGAGUACGAUCGCAAGAUUAAAACUCAAAGGAAUUGACGGGGCCCCGCACGAGCAGCGGAGCAUGCGGCUUAAUUCGACGCAACGCGAAGAACCUUACCAAGGCUUGACAUAUACAGGAAUAUGGCAGAGAUGUCAUAGCCGCAAGGUCUGUAUACAGGUGGUGCAUGGUUGUCGUCAGCUCGUGUCGUGAGAUGUUGGGUUAAGUCCCGCAACGAGCGCAACCCUCGUUCUGUGUUGCCAGCAUUUAGUUGGGGACUCACAGGAGACUGCCGGGGUUAACUCGGAGGAAGGUGGGGAUGACGUCUAAUCAUCAUGCCCCUUAUGUCUUGGGCUGCACGCAUGCUACAAUGGCUGGUACAAACGGCUGCAAUACCGCAAGGUGGAGCGAAUCCGAGAAAGCCAGUCUCAGUUCGGAUUGGGGUCUGCAACUCGACCCCAUGAAGUCGGAGUUGCUAGUAAUCGUAGAUCAGCAACGCUACGGUGAAUACGUUCCCGGGGCUUGUACACACCGCCCGUCACAUCACGAAAGUCGG